rnacentral:tRNA from 1 species
CAGGGCGUGGCUGAGAUAGUUAAGCACCUCCCUUACACCGAGAAGACGUCCAUGCAACUUGGAUCGCCCUGA